rnacentral:rRNA from 1 species
AUUGAACGCUGGCGGCAGGCCUAACACAUGCAAGUCGAACGGUAACAGGAAGGAGCUUGCUUCUUUGCUGACGAGUGGCGGACGGGUGAGUAAUGUCUGGGAAACUGCCUGAUGGAGGGGGAUAACUACUGGAAACGGUAGCUAAUACCGCAUAACGUCGCAAGACCAAAGAGGGGGACCUUCGGGCCUCUUGCCAUCGGCUGUGCCCAGAUGGGAUUAGCUAGUAGGUGGGGUAACGGCUCACCUAGGCGACGAUCCCUAGCUGGUCUGAGAGGAUGACCAGCCACACUGGAACUGAGACACGGUCCAGACUCCUACGGGAGGCAGCAGUGGGGAAUAUUGCACAAUGGGCGCAAGCCUGAUGCAGCCAUGCCGCGUGUAUGAAGAAGGCCUUCGGGUUGUAAAGUACUUUCAGCGGGGAGGAAGGGAGUAAAGUUAAUACCUUUGCUCAUUGACGUUACCCGCAGAAGAAGCACCGGCUAACUCCGUG